GCAGCAAGUACAGGUUGCCAUCAAGAAGUUCCACAGCAAAGAAGUCAACUUUUGUGUUCUUUUGGCUCCGGGCAUCUUUCCUCUCUUGGGGCUUUCCAUGCGUGAAGAGGAUCAGGCCAUUGGGCUCAGUGGUGCGGAAGUCGAAGGAGAUGGAACCCAUGCGCUUCGUGUUCCACUUGGGCAAGCUGAUUGUCUCCAAUCCGGGCCAGGCGAGACAGCUCCAGACGGAUGUCAUUAUUCUUAUAAACAACCUGCCAAAAGCCAAACAAAAGUGUCACAUGAAUCAAUCUUACAAACAGUCUCCAUCCAUCACUCACUGGGUACCCAGAAAAGAGGUUCAAGAAGAGGCUUCAGGACAUAGCAGUCUGAAACAAUAUGAGAAACAGGAGACACACCACUCAAAAAGGCAACCAAUGUGGGGUGUGGGGUGCACACAAUCUCUGAAUAAACCUCUGCACUUCCAUUAUA